UACGGAGGAUCCGAGCGUUAUCCGGAUUUAUUGGGUUUAAAGGGUGCGCAGGCGGGAGAAUAAGUCGGCGGUGAAAUUUUGCAGCUCAACUGUAAAAGUGCCUUCGAAACUGGUUUCCUUGAGUGUAGAUGAAGUAGGCGGAAUUUGUGGUGUAGCGGUGAAAUGCAUAGAUAUCACGAGGAACUCCGAUUGCGCAGGCAGCUUACUAAACUACUACUGACGCUCAGGCACGAAGGCGUGGGGAUCAAACAGGAUUAGAUACCCCUGUAGU
rnacentral:rRNA from 1 species